rnacentral:rRNA from 1 species
AUUGAACGCUGGCGGCAGGCCUAACACAUGCAAGUCGAACGAGUGGCGGACGGGUGAGUAAUGUCUGGGAAACUGCCUGAUGGAGGGGGAUAACUACUGGAAACGGUAGCUAAUACCGCAUACCAUCAGCUGUGCCCAGGUGGGAUUAGCUAGUUGGUGGGGUAACGGCUCACCAAGGCGACGAUCCCUAGCUGGUCUGAGAGGAUGACCAGCCGCACUGGAACUGAUAAACGGUCCAGAGGCCGAGGGGAGGCAGCAGGGGGGAAUAGUGCACAAUGGGCGCAAGCCUGAUGCAGCCAUGCCGCGUGUAUGAAGAAGGCCUUCGGGUUGUAAAGUACUAUCAGCGAGUAGGCGUUACCCGCAGAAGAAGCACCGGCUAACUCCGUGCCAGCAGCCGCGGUAAUUC